rnacentral:rRNA from 1 species
GAUGAACGCUGGCGGCGUGCCUAAUACAUGCAAGUCGAGCGAACAGAUAAGGAGCUUGCUCCUUUGACGUUAGCGGCGGACGGGUGAGUAACACGUGGGUAACCUACCUAUAAGACUGGGAUAACUUCGGGAAACCGGAGCUAAUACCGGAUAACAUUUGGAACCGCAUGGUUCUAAAGUGAAAGAUGGUUUUGCUAUCACUUAUAGAUGGACCCGCGCCGUAUUAGCUAGUUGGUAAGGUAACGGCUUACCAAGGCAACGAUACGUAGCCGACCUGAGAGGGUGAUCGGCCACACUGGAACUGAGACACGGUCCAGACUCCUACGGGAGGCAGCAGUAGGGAAUCUUCCGCAAUGGGCGAAAGCCUGACGGAGCAACGCCGCGUGAGUGAUGAAGGGUUUCGGCUCGUAAAACUCUGUUAUUAGGGAAGAACAAACGUGUAAGUAACGGUGCACGUCUUGACGGUACCUAAUCAGAAAGCCACGGCUAACUACGU